rnacentral:snRNA from 1 species
GUACCUUCUCGACCUUUUGACUAAGAUUAAGUGUAAUAUCAGUUCUUUUCGGCCUGAUCUCUGAGUCUAGGAACAAUUAUAUUUCUAAACAGUCGAUUAGGAUGACUUCUUGAAUCAAACUUCACUGUGAUCUACAAAUACAAAAGGGCUUGCUCUUUUGUAGAUCCACAACCCAAAUGGAUUUCAAUUUGUUGCUCCUAGUAUCGUAGUAUCUCU